UCAACAUUAGAAUCAAAAGAAAAACUUACGUGAUUUGUGCAUACUCCCUUGUUUUGAAUCAACUCAAU
ensembl:ncRNA C11E4.15 ncRNA